UUAUCUCCCGGUGGCAGGCCCUGUUUUGGGUAUUGAAAAAAUAUCGCGUCCAUCACUGGACCUUGGACAUUUCUCCUUGGCGCGUUUUUGUAGAACAGCCUCGUUCUGAAGUCCUUGCCGAAUGCAGGAUAGGAAAUAUUUUCUGCUUCUUAUUCUGUGCCAAGAAACAUUCGCACUCAAUUUUCAAGUUAUAUGCAAAGAAUCAACGAAACCUUAUACUUAACACCAUCGUGCGAAUAGAGACAAGAUACGGAAAGCAUCUACAGUGACGUUUCGUGGACAAACUCCUUUCUGCUCUCUACAAAGUAAAGUUCCUGCUCUUCGCGAAGAAUCGAAAGGAGGUGAAGAGGAGAUUUAAUUUGAGGGGUUUUGGUAAUUUCAAGAGAUCAUUCUUAGAAGACAGGGUAGACAUGCAGGCAAGGUAUCUGUAUGGUGAAGAUAAAAUGGUAAAAUAAAAUGGUAAGCUUUGCAAAUAUGAUACAUUUUAUAUGUUAAUUUAUGCCAUUGGAUAUAAUUUUUUACAUUGUCCAACUAAUCCAGCACGAUGGUAGCAAAGAAAUCCUACAAAUCCUAAUUAUAGGCCAACGUGGCUUGGCGUGCCCCUUUUUCUAAAAACAAAUCUAAUCUUUUUAGAGAAAAAAGAAGAAAAGGAGCAUCUAGAGAUCAGAGGAGUAAACAGUGACAGCCUGCUUGUGAUGCCACCAUUCAUCAGAUACUGGCAUGGCACGCCGACAUGUCCCUUCUUUAGAAUGCAAUGCGACAUUAAAAGGGUUACAGAGCAAGCUACCUUUGUAUGUCCAAUCAGAGAAAAUGGGCCGACCGUUGCACCAUAU